GGCUCAGGACGAACGCUGGCGGCGUGCCUAAUACAUGCAAGUAGAACGCUGAAGAGAGGAGCUUGCUCUUCUUGGACGAGUUGCGAACGGGUGAGUAACGCGUAGGUAACCUGCCUUGUAGCGGGGGAUAACUAUUGGAAACGAUAGCUAAUACCGCAUAACAAUGGAUGACACAUGUCAUUUAUUUGAAAGGGGCAAUUGCUCCACUACAAGAUGGACCUGCGUUGUAUUAGCUAGUAGGUGAGGUAAUGGCUCACCUAGGCGACGAUACAUAGCCGACCUGAGAGGGUGAUCGGCCACACUGGGACUGAGACACGGCCCAGACUCCUACGGGAGGCAGCAGUAGGGAAUCUUCGGCAAUGGGGGCAACCCUGACCGAGCAACGCCGCGUGAGUGAAGAAGGUUUUCGGAUCGUAAAGCUCUGUUGUAAGUCAAGAACGGGUGUGAGAGUGGAAAGUUCACACUGUGACGGUAGCUUACCAGAAAGGGACGGCUAACUACGUGCCAGCAGCCGCGGUAAUACGUAGGUCCCGAGCGUUGUCCGGAUUUAUUGGGCGUAAAGCGAGCGCAGGCGGUUUGAUAAGUCUGAAGUUAAAGGCUGUGGCUCAACCAUAGUUCGCUUUGGAAACUGUCAAACUUGAGUGCAGAAGGGGAGAGUGGAAUUCCAUGUGUAGCGGUGAAAUGCGUAGAUAUAUGGAGGAACACCGGUGGCGAAAGCGGCUCUCUGGUCUGUAACUGACGCUGAGGCUCGAAAGCGUGGGGAGCGAACAGGAUUAGAUACCCUGGUAGUCCACGCCGUAAACGAUGAGUGCUAGGUGUUGGAUCCUUUCCGGGAUUCAGUGCCGCAGCUAACGCAUUAAGCACUCCGCCUGGGGAGUACGACCGCAAGGUUGAAACUCAAAGGAAUUGACG
rnacentral:rRNA from 1 species